ensembl:snoRNA
GAGCAAUGAUGAAAAGACUAUUACUGAACUUUGUCUCUAUGAAGGCUUCUACACUUGACCUGAGCUCA